rnacentral:rRNA from 1 species
AGUAACACGUGGAUAACCUACCUAUAAGGCUGGGAUAACUUCGGGAAACCGUAGCUAAUACCGGAUAAUAUUUUGAACCGCAUGGUUCAAAAGUGAAAGACGGUCUUGCUGUCACUUAUAGAUGGAUCCGCGCUGCAUUAGCUAGUUGGUAAGGUAACGGCUUACCAAGGCAACGAUGCAUAGCCGACCUGAGAGGGUGAUCGGCCACACUGGAACUGAGACACGGUCCAG